rnacentral:lncRNA from 1 species
GUCGUUACCUGUUCAAAAAACUUUGUUUGGGCUUUUCAAUACCACCUCAAAAUCUUGUGGAAACUCAGGCAGAUGUCCACGUUAAUCCAGGGGGUGAGGAGCAUAUUGUCAAAACGCCUGUGAGAAAAGAAGCCGAACCGACAAAAAAUAAAGCACCCAUUCGACGGCCAGUGACCUUGAAGACGUCAGGCGAAACAAUGAACUCA